UAGGGAAUAUUAGAAAUGGACGAAAGUCUGAUCUAGCAACACCGCGUGUGCGAAGAAGGCCUUCGGGUCGUAAAGCACUUUUUGGAAGGAAUAGGAAGGAAUGUACUUCCAGAAUAAGUCUCGGCUAACUACGUGCCAGCAGCCGCGGUAACACGUAGGAGGCGAACGUUAUCCGGAUUUACUGGGCGUAAAGCGCGUGUAGGUGGUACUGUAAGUAGGGCGUGAAAGCCCCUGGCUCAACUGGGAGAGGCCGUUCUAAACUACAGAACUAGAGGAUGGUAGAGGGGGGUGGAAUUCCAGGUGUAGCGGUGGAAUGCGCAGAUAUCUGGAGGAACACCGGUGGCGAAGGCGGCCUCCUGGACCAUUCCUGACACUCAGACGCGAAAGCUAGGGUAGCAAACGG
rnacentral:rRNA from 1 species